AGAUCGCAUCUAAAAACACGUUUGAUACAUUGGCGAAGAAGUUAAAUAAGUCGAUUUCUGACAGGGAAAAGGACGAAGCUUUAAUG